rnacentral:tRNA from 1 species
AGACGAAAGUUAAUAUACAUAUUGGUUUCGGCCCAAUUAUAGAGAAUAAAUUCUCUUCGUCUU